UACGUAGGGUGCGAGCGUUAAUCGGAAUUACUGGGCGUAAAGCGUGCGCAGGCGGUUUUGUAAGCCAGAUGUGAAAUCCCCGGGCUCAACCUGGGAAUGGCAUUUGGGACUGCAAGGCUGGAGUGCGGCAGAGGAGACUGGAAUUCCUGGUGUAGCAGUGAAAUGCGUAGAUAUCAGGAGGAAUACCGAUGGCGAAGGCGGCUAUCUGGACUGACAUUGACGCUGAGGCGCGAAAGCGUGGGGAGCAAACAGG
rnacentral:rRNA from 1 species